GGCCCGGUAGCCUAGUUGGUAAAGCAUUUGUCUAGCGUAUAAGAGUCGUGAGUUCGAAUGUCACCUGAGCUG
rfam:Aedes albopictus isolate Foshan contig141577, whole genome shotgun sequence.